GUGCCCUUCUCUAAAACCUGGGCGGCGGUGGGGGAUUUGUGUGCCAGAAGACCUUCCAGGGUCGGUUGCGGGGAUGAUGUGGGUAAGGGGUCUCCUCCAGAGAUCAGCCCCUGACCCCGCCAGGGACAGCAGCACCCCCGACCCCAGGUCUGGCUGGGGCAGGACCAUUUCCUGCGGGGCCGGUUUGAGGAUGACGCCUGCCUGCCGUGUUUGUUUCCAAGUCAUUGUCAUGGAAACCGGGGCGGUUGUUGCUACUGUUUGUCUGGACUGCGUCGCUAGGCGGUGUUGCUGGGGUUGGCUGGGUGCCCACGGCACUAACAGGGCUCGCUUGGUGUCUCCAGCUCCAGGAAGCUAUGCCCUCCCAGCCGCCUGCCAGCCAGGACUUGGUGGGGCACACCUCCCUCCCGGCCCUGGGUCCAGCUUAUUGGGGGCCGGCGGUAGCCUGAGAGGUGGAUGUGAGGAAAUCACCCAGUGCCGUGGGCCCCUAGCUCUGGACCGUGGAGGGCUGGGCACAGGCAAGGGCAGGCUGGAGGACCAGGACGGCCAGGUAUGGGCAGCACUUUUCCCAGCGCCUGAUGGGCUUCCGGUGGGGAUGUGGGGUCCAGCUGCCAGGCGGGGAGGCUGGAAUUCCAGCCUCUGGAAUUCCUGGGCUAUGGCUGUAGGAUGCUGGGUACUAGGCCCAGCCUCAAGAGAGGGGAGGGAGGUCAGGGGCACCCCAUCUGGCCAGUCUGUGGAAGCCAGGCAGGGGUGCAGCCCCGCUGGGGGCAGGGCUGGCUGAGGGAGCCCCCUUCUUCCCUCUUUCCACACCUUGCCACGUCUGCUCUGGGAGAGGAGGAACUGCGCAGCCUUCCCACCUGCUCGGGGCUGGAGGUGAGGCCUGGAGGACAGGAGGUGCCUGUCUGGUAAGCCUGUCCCAUGCCAGCCCCAUGCCAGGUCUGCCCAGGGCAGGAAUGGCCACUGAGCCCAGCACGGCCAACCGGGGCCAGACCACAGGCCAGACAGGGGGUCCCGGGAGACAAGCAGCUGAAAAUAGACCCUGGGAACUUGGGAGUGUCUGAGACUCAGCUGGGCC
rnacentral:lncRNA from 1 species